rnacentral:lncRNA from 1 species
UAUGACCGGGAUUAUUUAGGAUAUGUGUUUAAAGGUGAAUCGAUCUCAUUAUCGUGAUCUCAUCACGAUCCGAUUCUCAUUGCACAAAUCCAAGGACAUCACAAUAUAUAUAUGCAUUUAUGCAAUAGUUAUAAAGUGAUAUACGCCAAAAUAUAAUAAGCAAAAAAAUUCUGUAUCAAGUCACACGUGCCAUCACUCACGUGAUUGGCUUGCUG